AUGGACGAAAAAUUUGUUGAACUUGUUUCAGAAGAACUUUAUUCCAGGAUUUGUUCUUAUGACUCAUUCAGAUUCAAUUUUGUUGUUAACAGCAUAUGGUGGAAUACAAAAUCGUAUCAAAUCUGUUAUUUGCAUCUCCUGUUGAUAGAAUUUUGUUAUUUUUUAGUUAUGCUCUUUUGCUCGGGGUGUAACAUGUAUUAAAACCAUGCCAAAACUGUUUUCGUGGAAUCAAUAUCCAUAGAAUCGUCGUAUCAAUAGUUAGAAAUUAGAAACAAUAUGCUCUCGUAGUUUGAAGAUUCGCCCUUAUUAAGAAGUAUCCCGGAUUUGAUCACCAACCGAAAAGUUCUGGAAAAUGGCAAGACGGACAUGUUAGGGAAACAGUAAAGUUUUACGUGUAAAACAACAUAAUUUUCGGGACCCUAACCCCUUACAUUAUCGGUUGACAUAAGCACUUCGAUGCGUAGUAUUUGGUUUUGCAAUUGAAAAUCGUUUUCUAUGUUUUUAAAACAAUAAAAAGUUGUUUGGUGUGGGUAAAACGGACAUGUUAAGGAAAUAAGCAAUGAACGACGAGUCUAACUUUUGUAAUGUUAUGAAUUAACAAAACGUGAAACGCAAACACACAGGAAGGAUAUUUUGAGGGUUUUCGAUGAUUCUGAUCAUGAUCAUCCUGUAUCAGUUUUUCAGAGGUUUCCAAAUUAACAAACUGAAUAGUUUUAUGAAACAAAAAUGGUUAUUUAUUAUGCAGUGGAUUAAAUCGUAAACCAUUAUCAAUUUCUGGCAGAAAUUUUAAAUGGAAGAAAAGAAAAAAAAAUCUAGUUUAUGCAAUCCGUCUCUUCGAAGUGAUCCUAGGGAUGCCGCAUUUUACCGCGAUAGUACGAACCGGCAUUU